GACGAACGCUGGCGGCGUGCUUAACACAUGCAAGUCGAACGGAAAGGCCCUGCUUUUGUGGGGUGCUCGAGUGGCGAACGGGUGAGUAACACGGGAGUAACCUGCCCUUGACUUUGGGAUAACUUCAGGAAACUGGGGCUAAUACCGGAUAGGAGCUCCUGCUUCAUGGUGGGGGUUGGAAAGUUUCGGCGGUUGGGGAUGGGCUCGCGGCUUAUCAGCUUGUUGGUGGGGUAGUGGCUUACCAAGGCUUUGACGGGUAGCCGGCCUGAGAGGGUGACCGGCCACAUUGGGACUGAGAUACGGCCCAGACUCCUACGGGAGGCAGCAGUGGGGAAUAUUGCACAAUGGGCGGAAGCCUGAUGCAGCAACGCCGCGUGCGGGAUGACGGCCUUCGGGUUGUAAACCGCUUUCGCCUGUGACGAAGCGUGAGUGACGGUAAUGGGUAAAGAAGCACCGGCUAACUACGUG
rnacentral:rRNA from 1 species